rnacentral:rRNA from 1 species
AUUGAACGCUGGCGGCAGGCCUAACACAUGCAAGUCGAGCGGAUGAAGGGAGCUUGCUCCUGGAUUCAGCGGCGGACGGGUGAGUAAUGCCUAGGAAGCUGCCUGGUCGCGGGGGAUAACGUCCGGAAACGGGCGCUAAUACCGCAUACGUCCUGAGGGAGAACGGGGGGGAUCUACGGACAACACGCUAUCAGAUGAGCCUAGGACGGAUUCGCUAGUUGGUGGGGUAACGGCUUACCGAGGCGACGAUCCGUAACUGGGCUGAGAGGAUGAUCAGUCACACUGGAACUGAGACACGGUCCAGACUCCUACGGGAGGCAGCAGUGGGGAAUAUUGGACAAUGGGCGAAAGCCUGAUCCAGCCAUGCCGCGUGUGUGAAGAAGGUCUUCGGAUUGUAAAGCACUUUUAGUUGGGAGGAAGGGCAGUAAGUUAAUCCCUUGCUGUUUUGACGUUACCAACAGAAAAAGCACCGGCUAACUUCGUG